UCAGUCGGUCGGACGGCCGCUCCGGCAAAACCGAAAGGUUGCCGGGGAGGAAAGUCCGGGCUCCAUGGACAAGCGGUGCCGGAUAACGUCCGGCGGGCGCGAGCCUAGGGAAAGUGCCACAGAGAACAAACCGCCGCGGCGCGUUGCGUAACUCGCGGCAAGGGUGAAAAGGUGCGGUAAGAGCGCACCGCGUCGGCGGCAACGCCGGCGGCACGGCAAACCCCACCGGGAGCAAGACCGAAUAGGGACGGCACGAAGCCUUCGCGCAGGCGAAGGUCUUCAAGGUCAGUGUCUAAACCCGCCGUCCGGGUAGGUUGCUGGAGGCGCCGGGCAACCGGCGUCCAAGAGGAAUGGUCGUCACGCAUGCGGGCCGGUUGUUCGCGUGCCUUCCAGAACCCGGCUUACAGACUGGCUGGCUUC
rnacentral:RNase_P_RNA from 1 species